AUUCCCGUUCCAGCUUGAAUUGCCAUUGUUCGCGCGUCCACGGCGGGACGCUGCGCGGCGACGCGAGGCUUUUUUUCAACUGGCUCAGAACCUCAUCCCGGCUUAAAUUUUUAAUAAUAUGUUUAUUUGCCCAACCGAAACGUAUGGUGGCGGGGUUAUUGAUAAGCGUCAGCGUGCGGUAAGCGUUCAGCGUAAUUAAGCCGGGUAGAUG
rnacentral:sRNA from 1 species